rnacentral:ribozyme from 1 species
UUUUUUUUUUUUUUUUUUUUUUUUUUUGAUGUUGAC